rnacentral:rRNA from 1 species
AUUGAACGCUGGCGGCAUGCUUUACACAUGCAAGUCGGGCGAGCGGCGGACGGGUGAGUAACGCAUCGGAACCUACCCGGUAGAGGGGGAUAACUGUUCGAAACGGCAGCUAAUACCGCAUAUUAUUCGAGCGGCCGAUGUUUGAUUGGCUGGUUGGUGGGGUAAAGGCCCACCAAGGCGACGAUCAGUAGCGGGUCUGAGAGGAUGAUCCGCCACACUGGGACUGAGACACGGCCCAGACUCCUACGGGAGGCAGAAGUGGGGAAUUUUGGACAAUGGGCGCAAGCCUGAUACAGCCAUGCCGCGUGUCUGAAGAAGGCCUUAGGGUUGUAAAGGACUUUUGUCAGGGAGGCGGUACCUGAAGAAUAAGCACCGGCUAACUACGUGCCAGCAGCCGCGGUAAUAC